GUCUGCCUGAUCUUUAAUGGAAGUUGUAGACUCACUUCACUCUCUGCCUCUGAGCUGCUUCAGACUUUUGGCACCAAAUGUUUUUGUUUUCACCGCGAUGAACAAUCCUCCAUCCUUCCUUGUAUCCUGUUUUCUUUGUUUCUGCUAUUUCCUGCAGGUUUCACUGCCAUGCAGGUCAUUAAUGCAGCCUUUGGAGCCAAGCCAACGCAACUCAUUCCUGUCUGUGUUUACAACCAGUCAUGUAUCCUUACUUUCAACACUGGUCCAAAGGCCACGAUAUUUGUGGGUAAACUGAAACUGACUUCAGUCUGUCAGUGUGACUUUGCUCUACAUUUCAGGGAGGAGCAAACAUUCACACAUGAAGAUGUCCACGUGAUUUUGUCAGAAGCAAGUUUUCUUUUGAGUCUAGAGAGAGUUGUUUGACCAAGAACCGGUAAAGAAAAUGUGGCGUAACCUGCGGCACGCAUACAUCCGCAACAAGAGACAGGAACAGGGCAGAAGUGGACGGCAGGCCAGCAACAAAAGAAGUGAAAACACACGGAUGCAAUGUCCUUCCUGGAAUCUUCCAAGACAAAGUGCCAAAGGCAAGACACGGGUGGAGAAUGACGACAGCCAGGAAGGUGACUCCAGGGAAGAGAAGCAAGGGAGGAAAUGUGUCCAUUUUGCACAACGAUUUCUAUCGGACAACACGUAAAAAAAAAUGCACACAAAAAUACGAACUUGGUGUGCAAAGCCCUUUACUUAAAUAAAACUGCUCAAACAACAAAUCUGACUCCAGCAAAUC